CCUACGGGUGGCAGCAGUGGGGAAUAUUGCACAAUGGGGGAAACCCUGAUGCAGCGACGCCGCGUGAGUGAAGAAGGAUCUCGGUACGUAAAGCUCUAUCAGCAGGAAAGAAAAUGACGGUACCUGACUAAGAAGCCCCGGCUAACGACGAGCCAGCAGCAGCGGUAAUACGAAGGGGGCAAGCGUUAUCCGGAUUUACUGGGGGUAAAGGGAGCGUCGACGGCGCUGCACGUCCGGAGUGAAAGCCCAUGCCUUAACCCUGGGACUGAUCUGGAACCGGUCGAGCUUGAGUGCGGGAGCGGCAGGCGGACUUCCUUGUGUAGCGGUGAAAUGCGUAGCUAUUAGGAGGCACCCCGGCGGCGACGGCGGCCUGCUGGACCGUAACUGACGUUGAGGCUCGACAGCGUUGGGAGCAAACCGGAUUAGAUACCCUUGUAGUC
rnacentral:rRNA from 1 species